AUGCCUAUGGCAGCAGCACAAGGGAAGCUAAGUCCGGAGGCCAUGGACAACGAAGUUAUCAGCAACGGCAGCGCCAAGGACUACCUCGACCCUCCUCCGGCGCCGCUGGUGGACGCCGGCGAGCUGGGUAAGUGGUCUUUGUACCGUGCCGUCAUCGCCGAGUUCACCGCCACGCUGCUCUUCGUCUACGUCGCCGUGGCCACCGUGGUCGGCCACAAGCGCCAGACGGACGCCCAGGCGUGCAGCGGCGCCGGCGUGCUGGGCAUCGCGUGGGCCUUCGGCGGCAUGAUCGCUGUCCUCGUCUACUGCACCGCCGGCAUCUCCGGCGGCCACAUCAACCCAGCCGUAACGUUCGGGCUACUGCUGGCGCGCAAGGUGUCCCUUCCCAGAGCCUUCCUCUACAUGGUGGCGCAGUGCGUCGGCGCCAUCUGCGGUGCGGCGCUGGUGAGGGCCGUGCACGGCGGCCACCACUACGUGCUUUACGGUGGCGGCGCCAACGAGCUCGCGCCGGGCUACUCCAGGACGGCGGGUCUCAUCGCCGAGAUCGCCGGCACCUUCGUGCUCGUGUACACCGUCUUCUCAGCGACCGACCCGAAGCGCAUCGCCCGGGAUCCACACGUCCCGGUGCUGGCGCCGCUGCUCAUCGGGUUCGCCGUGCUCAUGGCGCACCUCGCCACUAUCCCCGUCACCGGAACCGGGAUCAAUCCAGCAAGGAGCUUUGGCGCCGCCGUGGUGUACAAUGGCGGCAAGGCUUGGGACGACCAGUGGAUCUUCUGGGUUGGCCCGUUCAUCGGCGCCGCCGUGGCCACGGUUUACCACCAGUACAUCCUCAGGAAUAGUGCCAUCUUCCGGUCCAACUACGACGCCUCCGUCUAG
rnacentral:rRNA from 1 species